rnacentral:lncRNA from 13 species
AUGGCAAUAAUGACUUGCAUAGGAGAUAAUCUGGAAUAUCAUUACAAUAUUAUUUCUUCAGAACGCCUCCUAUUUUUCUCUUAUCAACCAUUCGUCUUCCAACAAGAUACCAUAUGGCCUGUGUUUCUGGCAGGUUUUGCAGAGCCUCAAGUCGAAGAUGCUCGACCUGUCCUGCCCUCUCCAGAGCUACAUCCACUGCCACAUGACGCCCGCCCAAAGGCACCGAGGCAGCCCGCCCAAAGGCACCGAGGCAGCCCGCCCAAAGGCACCGAGGCAGCCCGCCCAAAGGCACCGAGGCAGCCCGCCCAAAGGCACCGAGGCAGCCUGCCCAAAGCCAUAAAAAGCGUGUUUUAUUUGAGAGGGAUGAAGGAGAGGAACGGUGAGGACCUUUAUCCGUCACACCUGCACAGAGUGAAGAACACGGCAGCCAAACUGUUCCAGCUCAACAAGGCCAUCGGGGCAGCUCCACUCUGCUCUCUCUCUCUCGUCCUCCGAGGUAGAGUGACACCAGCCUCAUCGCCUGCCGAGAAACUGUCUUCUCGUCCGAGGUCAUCGACGAGGUCAUCAACAGCCUCCCCAGUGGCGCCAACAACUUCAGCCUCCGCCCGCCCUGACUGUCAUGGCGGCCCGGGAUGA